UGAGUAACACGUAUGCAACCUGCCUGCCACAGCCGGAUAAUCGGGAGAAAUUCCGUCUAAUACGGCAUAAUGCAUCGACGGGACAUCCUGUUGGUGCCAAAGGUUAAUUCCGGUGGCGGAUGGGCAUGCGUCGCAUUAGCUUGUUGGCGGGGUAACGGCCCACCAAGGCGACGAUGCGUAGGGGUUCUGAGAGGAAGGUCCCCCACACUGGUACUGAGACACGGACCAGACUCCUACGGGAGGCAGCAG
rnacentral:rRNA from 1 species